UACGUAGGGGGCAAGCGUUGUCCGGAUUUAUUGGGCGUAAAGAGCGUGUAGGCGGCUAGGUAGGUCCGUUGUGAAAACUCGAGGCUCAACCUCGAGACGCCGGUGGAAACCAUCUAGCUAGAGUCCGGAAGAGGAGAGUGGAAUUCCUGGUGUAGCGGUGAAAUGCGUAGAGAUCUGGAAGAACACCGGUGGCGAAGGCGGUGGUCUGGGCCAUUACUGACGCUGAGGAGCGAAAGCCAGGGGAGCGAACGGG
rnacentral:rRNA from 1 species